rnacentral:rRNA from 1 species
GACGAACGCUGGCGGCGUGCUUAACACAUGCAAGUCGAACGGAAAGGCCCUGCUUUUGUGGGGUGCUCGAGUGGCGAACGGGUGAGUAAAACGUGAGUAACCUGCCCUUUACUCUGGGAUAACUUCAGGAAACUGGGGCUAAUACCGGAUAGGCGCCCCUGCUCCACGGUGGGGGUUGGAGAGUUUCGGCGGUUGGGGAUGGACUCGCGGCUUAUCAGCUUGUUGGUGGGGUAGUGGCUUACCAAGGCUUUGACGGGUAGCCGGCCUGAGAGGGUGACCGGCCACAUUGGGACUGAGAUACGGCCCAGACUCCUACGGGAGGCAGCAGUGGGGAAUAUUGCACAAUGGGCGGAAGCCUGAUGCAGCAACGCCGCGUGCGGGAUGACGGCCUUCGGGUUGUAAACCGCUUUCGCCUGUGACGAAGCGUGAGUGACGGUAAUGGGUAAAGAAGCGCCGGCUAACUACGUG